UUGAUCGACGGGACGUCGAUUUAAAAUAAGGGGGGUGUAUUGUAAUGGGGUGGAGGUAGCAUUAGUUGUGGCUCCAUAUUAGGCAUGCUUGGGACUACAAAUGUGUUGGACUACAGAUCCCAUGAGUCCAAGUACUAUAAAGGGGGAUAUCAAAUCUUCUGGCCUUUCUCUUUGUGGGACCAUGUGCUGCGUAGGAGAAGCUGUGUGUAUGCUUAAAGGAUAUAUACUGGUGGAUGCCUCAGAAAUUGAGUAGAUUCAUUCAUUAACACAGAUGAUGCAUGAUUGCCGUUUACUUUUAUCUAAAAUAUUGGUGGGUUAAUGUUGGGUUGUAAGAUAUGACUUUUAACAGUUACACUAUGAUGAAGUGAUUUGAAUUUCUUGUGGGACUGUGAUUUUGUUUCGUUUAUUUGUCUUUGUUUUGUGUUAAUCAACCAAAGACAAAGGGGUUUCCAUUCUUGUAUGCAUGGUUGACUCUUAAGGUGAUUGGGCACAAUUUGUAGUGGUUUGAGUCAAGUGCGUGUUGGUUUUCUAUUACACUUGUGUUAUUGGUUUUGUGCUGUGAUUUGAGUGUACUCUUUAAUAGUGGAACUGCCAUUGUAUGGGAUUGGGGAACCCUAUGGUCUAUAGUGGGUUAAACCUUUGUGUUCUUUUCGUUUCUUUGCCACUUCUUAUUACCAUUUGUGUUUAAUAAAUCUGUUUGUGCUUGCAAGG